AUUGAACGCUGGCGGCAGGCCUAACACAUGCAAGUCGAACGGUAACAGGAAGCAGCUUGCUGCUUUGCUGACGAGUGGCGGACGGGUGAGUAAUGUCUGGGAAACUGCCUGAUGGAGGGGGAUAACUACUGGAAACGGUAGCUAAUACCGCAUAACGUCGCAAGACCAAAGAGGGGGACCUUCGGGCCUCUUGCCAUCGGAUGUGCCCAGAUGGGAUUAGCUUGUUGGUGGGGUAACGGCUCACCAAGGCGACGAUCCCUAGCUGGUCUGAGAGGAUGACCAGCCACACUGGAACUGAGACACGGUCCAGACUCCUACGGGAGGCAGCAGUGGGGAAUAUUGCACAAUGGGCGCAAGCCUGAUGCAGCAAUGCCGCGUGUAUGAAGAAGGCCUUCGGGUUGUAAAGUACUUUCAGCGGGGAGGAAGGGAGUAAAGUUAAUACCUUUACUCAUUGACGUUACCCGCAGAAGAAGCACCGGCUAACUCCGUG
rnacentral:rRNA from 1 species